rnacentral:rRNA from 1 species
UACGUAGGGUGCGAGCGUUAAUCGGAAUUACUGGGCGUAAAGCGUGCGCAGGCGGUUUUGUAAGCCAGAUGUGAAAUCCCCGGGCUUAACCUGGGAAUGGCAUUUGGGACUGCAAGGCUCGAGUGCGGCAGAGGAGACUGGAAUUCCUGGUGUAGCAGUGAAAAUGCGUAGAUAUCAGGAGGAACACCGGUGGCGAAGGCGGGUCUCUGGGCCGAUACUGACGCUGAGGAGCGAAAGCGUGGGGAGCAAACAGG